rnacentral:lncRNA from 1 species
GGGCUUGCUUGGUGCUUCUGUUUUGGUUCCUGGAGGUUUUGAUGUUCCAUUAACACUGGCAGCACCUUUCCCUUUCUGUUCUCCCUGUGGCCCACCUGUGACAUGCCCUGGGCUCCUGUGACAUCCCCUGGGCUCCUGUGACAUCCCCUGGGCUCUGCAGCUGCCUGUGUCCCCAUCUGGACAGGCACCAGGGCCUUCAGCUCCUCCUCAUGGCCAAUUUUCCAGCCACUCCAGCUCAACCUCCAUCCCACGGAACCACGGUUACUCCUGGGUCCUGGGUGUUGUGUGGAGUGAGAAGUGGUGGUGUUGAAGAUGAUGCAUUUGUUUGAUAGUGAGAGGUGAAAACAUGUCAUAUUGGUAAUUCCCAGUCAUGGAAGUGCGGACUCCUAGCACCCCUUGGAAAAUAAACUUUGGCUGAGGGAGAAAUCUCCCA